GCAAUAGCGCGGUGGUCCCACCUGACCCCAUGCCGAACUCAGAAGUGAAACGCCGUAGCGCCGAUGGUAGUGUGGGGCCUCCCCAUGCGAGAGUAGGACACUGCCAGGC
rnacentral:rRNA from 1 species